GACGAACGCUGGCGGCGUGCUUAACACAUGCAAGUCGAACGGAAAGGCCCUGCUUUUGUGGGGUGCUCGAGUGGCGAACGGGUGAGUAACACGUGAGUAACCUGCCCUUGACUUUGGGAUAACUUCAGGAAACUGGGGCUAAUACCGUAUAGGAGCUCCUGCUGCAUGGUGGGGGUUGGAAAGUUUCGGCGGUUGGGGAUGGACUCGCGGCUUAUCAGCUUGUUGGUGGGGUAGUGGCUUACCAAGGCUUUGACGGGUAGCCGGCCUGAGAGGGUGACCGGCCACAUUGGGACUGAGAUACGGCCCAGACUCCUACGGGAGGCAGCAGUGGGGAAUAUUGCACAAUGGGCGGAAGCCUGAUGCAGCAACGCCGCGUGCGGGAUGACGGCCUUCGGGGUGUAAACCGCUUUCGCCUGUGACGAAGCGUGAGUGACGGUAAUGGGUAAAGAAGCACCGGCUAACUACGUG
rnacentral:rRNA from 1 species